rnacentral:tRNA from 1 species
GAAAAAUUAGUUAAAAUAUAACAUUAUCUUGUCAAGAUAAAAUUAUUUAUAAAAAUAUUUUUCU